rnacentral:tRNA from 1 species
UAGCUCAGUCAGUAGAGCAUGAGACUCUUAAUCUCAGGGUCAUGGGUUUGAGCCCCAC